rnacentral:lncRNA from 10 species
UUACUCAAUUUUUUUAUUAGUUCUAACAGUUUUUUAAUAGUCAUUAGGUUAUUUCGUAAUAAGAUUAUGUCAUCUGCAAAAAAAAAUUUUAAUUCAUUUCCUAUUUAGAUGUCUUUUUUUUUUCUCGUGUCAUGCAACCUCAUGCAGCCAACAUAGUACUGGAAGUCCUAGCCAGAACAAUUAUACAAGAGGUUGCCUGCAACAGUAGACAGAAGAUCAUCUAUCUAUCUAUAUAAUAUACAUAUAAAUUAUAUUUUCUUAUGAUCUACUCCAGUGAACAGAGCAGAAUUGCCUGCUUAAAGUGAAUAAGCAGGCAUUGUGUUUCAUUAAUCAAUAUCUUGUGAAAUUGGUUCACUUGAUUUGUACCUCAUUUUGACAAUAUGUUUAAGUUAAUGAAACAAAAAUCUUAAUAUAAAACACUUAGAAUAACUAUACCUUUCCUCAUAGUGUUCCAAAAAUAAUACUUUAACUAUUAUAGUUUUUAUCUUAAAUUAACUGUUUGAAGUAAUCCAUAACUAAAAUAUCAAUAAAUGUAUUAUUGGUAAAAUAUUCAUAAGUAUAUUCAAUAAAUAAUUAGAAUUAAUUUAAAUCUGAUUUAAAAGGAAAAUUAUUAAUGAGUUCAGAAUUAUUAAUUAUAAUGCUAUAUUGGCCUUUGUCCUCUAUAACAAAUUAUAUGAUUACAUGUAUCGGUGUUAAAGAUGAACUGAGUUGAAAAUAAAAAUAGUUUUGAAAGUUAGAUUUUUGUAUAUUUAUUCUUAAAAUGAACUAAUUCCUUAUAAUUUAUAACUUGCUUCUAUGAAAUAAAAAAGUAAAAAAUUUUUGAAUACCCUCAAGGUCUGUACUUCUCCAGUGAUCUUCUAAACAAGGAACAAACCCAGCUGUUGCUAAUUGUUGAGUUUUCAGAAUAAAUAUUUCCUACAUUAAAUACCUCAAAUCUUCUUUCAUAUAAAAAAAAACUUGGUCUGAUGAAAUUAUCCAUUUGCCAUAUCAUCUCAGGCUUUUCAAAAAUACACAUAUAAGCCCUGAAAUUCAUAUUUGGGCAAUGAUAAUAGCAAGCCAGGGAGAUCAUCUGAGGUCAGGAUUUCGAGACCAGCCUGGCCAACGUGGAGAAACUCUGUCUCUACUAACAAUAGAAAAAUUAGCUGGGGUGGUGACAGGUGCCUGUAAUCCCAGCUACUCAGGAGGCAGAGGCAGAAGAAGUGCUUGAACCCGGGAGGCAGAGGUUGCAGUGAGCUGAGAUCAUGCCACUGCACUCCAGCCUGGGCAAUCUUGCUCACCACAUUGUGAGUGACAAGAAAGAGAGAAGAGAGGAGAAAAGAGCUGUGGCCCAGAUCUAGGAGACACGUCUGUGACACCCUCUUUGGAGCGCUGUAGUUUCUGGCAUCUUCAAGCUUCCAGGUGUUCCACCGCAUUCCCUGGUGCCCUCUGUGGAAGCUGCUUCAUGGGCCACAGAGGUUUCUGGCUGGAAAGGCAACACCCCAAGCAUCCUGCGACAAUACUACCCAAAUCAAUUUAUAGAUUAAAUGCUAUUCCUAUCAAACUACCAAUAACAUUCUUCAAAUAACUAGAAA